UUUAUUUAUUUAUUUAUUUAUUUAUUUAUUUAAUGUGCAGCCAUAGUGGAGCUCAGUCAGGACACUAAGCUCAAAUGUGCUAUAUAAAGUGGACAUGGCCUCUUUGGGCCCUUUUACUCAUCCUGGGUUCUGUCAGCUGGGUCUCUCCUGGUCCCCCUGUCCGCUUAGCUCUUCAGGUCCCAAUCCAGGCCCCAAAGCCACCUCUGCUGCCAGGUUCUCCCCUUAUUUUCUACUAAGAGAGAAAAAGAGAACCUCAGAUUGCUUUUAACUUGCAUGCUGUCUUUCAUUCUUAGUCUUCAGAGUGGGAAUUUUAUUUUACUUUGUUAAAAAUGAGUUUAGGGUCCAGAGCUAGAUUUUGAGAGCUGAAAAUAGAACAGAAAUGGACUUGGAUCUUUCUGGGUUUGACUCUGUGAUUGUUCCUGGUGAAUGCCUGGUGACAUUCGGGUUCAUGUGUCAUUGUGCAGAGCUUCCUGCCCCCACCAGCCUCUUGCCCCCACCCUGACCCUGCCCUGCCCUUCUCUGCCCACAGGGUCACAGUCACCUUGUUUGACCCUUUGAAAAAGUACCAGAAAGUUCUCAAGAGCGUACUAGAGGAUGUUUGGUAUUUUGUCAGCCCUGGAAGCAGUCUUGGGUUUGGGGUGCCUGCAUUGUGUGGCAAAACAGGAUGUUUGGGGUGAGCCUGCCUGCAGGCUGUGUGGUUGUGGCAGGAUGGGCGCCCUGGCUUUGCCCCUCACUCCCUCGCCAAUCCAUUUUCUUUGUGUACAGGCUUGUCACGCUGGGGCCCGUGUGGCUUUCCUCCCCAGUAGCCACACCUCUUGCCAUCGCCACAUGGGUCCCAUCUGUCUCUAUCAAAACACCAGAGCACAGAUUAAUGUGAUUUGAAAACUCGGUGAGGCACCAGGCCUAAGCCCACUUUAUACUUUUCUUGUCCGGCAGUAUCUUUCUUGAAUGCCAGCUGCAUCUUGCUUGCUUGCCCCAUGGUCCUCCCUGCAUCCUUUCUCCCUUCUCCCAGCUGUUAGUCAAGAACAGAGAACAGUUGGGGCUGAGUCUCUGGGAACAGAGGAAGGGGUGAACCAGCCACCUCUUGCUUUCCCCUCCAUCCCCUGUCCCCCAAGACUGCAGCUGGCCUGCUUGAUGCUCUGUGACUAAGCCACCUGAGUCGUCUAUGGCCGAGUCUCUGAAAUACUCAGCAAGCAGCAAUUGUUGUUCUCAAAUACCAGCCUGUGGGAAGCAAGAUAAAUGUGUGUAAACCGUUAGGAAUUACACAGCUUUAGACACAUUCAGGAGGAAAAUGGGGGAACUGAAGGCAGAGGUGGAUAUCUCAUUGAUAUCUCAUUGACCUGACACAUCUCAGAAGGUUCCUCGUUGACUUUUAUAGGGCUUGGCUCAGGUCACUGUCACUUCUGGUUCUCAAGUUCUGCUGGUCCCUUUGGGGGUGUGGGAGGGGAGUUGAUUAUCUCUUAGAUUCUAAAGUACCUCAGGAAGGCUGCUGGUCCUAAUUUGACCUGGUUGUUAGGGCCAUCUUUCUCCAUGAAGAAGUACUAUCUUUCUCAUGAAGCUGAUCGCCUUUCAAAUUCAUUGAAACAACAUAAAGCAAAUUGCUACCCAGAGUCUGGACAAAUCUCAAAGAUGCUCUGAUGGUAGCACCCAUCCAAGUGGUCAGUAAUACAAAGGAUUGUCCUGACUUGUUCCUGUGGCUGGGAUAAAACAUUGACUAAAUCCAGCUCAGGGAGGAAAGGGUUUAUAUUAUAUUUUUACCAGAUAGGGUCCAUUAUUGAAGGGAGCUGGGAGCUCAAGGAAGAAACAAAAACAGAAACCAUGAGGGAACACUGCUGGCUUGCUCUCCAUGGUUUGCUCAGUUGGCUUUCUUAUGCAACACAGGACUACCACUUGCAAAGGGGAUGGCACCACCCACAAUGGACUGGGCCUUCCCACUUCAAUCACUAAUCAAGAAAAUGCUCCAGGAGACAGAGACACGCCCACAGCCAAUCUGAUGGAAGCAAUUUCUUGAUUGAGAACCUUGAUUGAGAUCCCAUCUUCCCGGGUGACUAUAGUUUGUGUCGAGUUGACAGUAAAAACUCACCGGUGCAGAUAGCCGUGUCGUUACCGAGCAGCGACUAAGGGUUGUGAAUGUUAUAAGUAUUCUGUUUUUUGCAUUUAUUGCUUUAUUUAUGCGCUUGCUUAUUUAGAAACAGCCUCACUCAAUAGCACCAACUGACCUGAAACUCACUAUGAUGACCAGGCUGGCCUUGAACUCACAGAAUCCCACCUGUCUCUGCUCCCAAGUGCUAGGAUUAAUGGCGUGAACCACUAAACCUGGCUUACGAGUUUAUUGUCUCUAGUACUUCCUGCAGUAACCGACACACAAUCGUCUCCUUUUACAGCUGAAGAAGCAGAGUUUAAGCUGGUAGGCAAGGGUUCCAGAGGAAGCCAGUCACACAAGGUCUGCAGCAAGGCCCCUGCAGGGGGUGCCGCCGGUGACAGUUGCCAAAGGCUGAGCACUGAAUCAGGAGGUUGAGGAAAUGGCAUUUGUGUCGUUCCUUUCGACACAAGUUCCAUCUCGAAGACAAUUAUCCUUUUUAGCAGUCUUUUAGGAACAGACAGGCAGUUGUACCAUAGGCGGCAAACCAACGCUGUUCCAUUGUGGAGACUGUGAGUGCCUGGAGUAUAUAUGGUACUUAAAGGAGACUUCAGCUUCAGAGGAAUCAGAAUAAACUCACUUGAGGCAUUACUUUUAGAAAGUGAAAGUGCUCAGAGGUAAGGACUUCGAUGCUGAGCAGUUUCCAUCUCUGUACUACCUAGGAUCAACAACAGACAUACACACACAAACACAUUCACUCAUACAUAACACAUACUCACACUCACACAUAUACUCAGAUCCACAUGCACACACAUUUACACACUCACACAUGCACACAUACACAGGCACACACACACACACAACACAAAGUAUUGUUUGGCAGUUGUUAAUUUUCUACCUGGACAACUGGUUAGAGCUACAUCCUUCUCUUCUUCUCCGCCUCAGUAGGAGCUGCCAGCAAGCUGAGGAGAAGUUUUGGAAAGGGAGAACCUUGUCCUUGGGAAUCCUCAUUACUUUCCCUUUCACACCCCUCCCCCUCCAGCCUUUAAAAGUGAUAAUUGCUUGAAAGGACUGGUGGGAAGUAAUUUGUAUUGGUGAAGCUCCAGUGAAUCUCAAUGGAGUGGUGUUGACCAUUGGUGGCUUCCUGUUUAAUUACGGGGCUUGAGAACUAUGGUACCUGCCCCCAUCUCAGCCAAGGGCCUGAGACUUGGUGGGGAUAAGAAAGC
rnacentral:lncRNA from 1 species